rnacentral:tRNA from 1 species
GGGGUUAUAGCUCAGUGGUAGAGCGUUUGCCUUGCAUGCAUGAAGCCCAGCCUGGGUUAGAUCCUCAGCACCA